rnacentral:rRNA from 1 species
GACGAACGCUGGCGGCGUGCCUAAUACAUGCAAGUAGAACGCUGAAGGAGGAGCUUGCUUCUCUGGAUGAGUUGCGAACGGGUGAGUAACGCGUAGGUAACCUGCCUGGUAGCGGGGGAUAACUAUUGGAAACGAUAGCUAAUACCGCAUAAUAGCAGUUAUUGCAUGAUAACUGUUUGAAAGGUGCAAAUGCAUCACUACCGAUGGACCUGCGUUGUAUUAGCUAGUUGGUGGGGUAACGGCUCACCAAGGCGACGAUACAUAGCCGACCUGAGAGGGUGAUCGGCCACACUGGGACUGAGACACGGCCCAGACUCCUACGGGAGGCAGCAGUAGGGAAUCUUCGGCUAAUGGCUGGAAGUCUGACCGAGCAACGCCGCGUGAGUGAAGAAGGUUUUCGGAUCGUAAAGCUCUGUUGUAAGAGAAGAACGAGUGUGAGAGUGGAAAGUUCACACUGUGAC